rnacentral:lncRNA from 10 species
AAAAACACAGCUCUGAACUUUAUAGGUCAUGAUAUCUCUGUAGCUUGUGGGUUUAGCUGCAUUUUGAAAAAGAUAACUGUGUCUCCCUUAGCAUCUUCCUUUUUCCUAUUUUUUCUUGUAAGUUUACAAAGGUCAGAUGCCAGUAUGAUCUAGAAUAAGAGGUUUUGUGGCUGACUUUGAAAGGUUACUUUAGAGAAAAAUCUCAUGAAGCAGCAGUACUCCAAAGUGCUGCGGGGAAUGUGGCUAAAAUCUUGUUACAUCCUAAUGGAGCUUCUAACACAUUAGACAUAUAGAGCAUCAGAUUCCAGAAUGUGUCUGAGGGAUUUAGUCUCUAGUUACUAAAAGGAAACGAAGAGGCAUCUCAAGGUUAGAGUUACACUGACGAGGUCAUGUUCAUGGGACAUCAAAGCAACGUGGAAAUCAAUUCUAUCAUCAUAGCAAAGCCUGAAGUGCCUGUUUAAUGAUUAAUUAGAAUAAUAAUUGAAAUGCAACAUAAUUAUGAUAAACAAGGAAAUGCCAGAGGCUUCUUUUCUCUAUGGACUACAAUACCAUAGUGAAUUGGGCCUUUCAAAAUCCAGAAACUUUUUAUUGGCUGUUUGUUUCACGAAAGCAGAAAUACUCCAGGAUGUGUUUUCAGUAAUUAAGGUAAUCUUUAUAAUACAUAUUUUACUUUAGCCCAGCUGACUAUCCAAAUGAGUGAGUGUUUGGUGACUAAUGUAAAUAUCUGUAUGAACCAAUUCCAGAUAUUUUAGCUGUGAAUGACUCCAUGAUAAUUAUAAUAGAAGCAAAAUGAGUGUUCCUCAUUUUAAUGUGACCUAAUAACACCAUAUCAUUUAAGACAAUAUUUAUUUUUUAGUAUAAUAUGAACUGGUCCUAAUUCUGAGGUAUGCUCAUACCUUAGAGUAUCAACACUAGAGAGUUAUUACAAUUAAUGACUGGCUUUCUAUUGUGUUACAGCCAGUUAAAUUUUUUUUUUCAAAAUUCUCUUCUGCAAGUCAUUUCUGAGGUCUUCUUGCAAACCAUUUGCACAGUCAUAACAUCUAUACAAGUAUUUGCUUAUUACCUUGGCCAGAAAAAUCUCUUUUCAAGGCUGCUUCACAGGGUUUCUUGAGUAUGCAUGAGUCAACACACAUGUUCAUAGAGGAGAAGAUUGUGCUGAUUUGCUCUACACCAACGUUCUGUUAAAGGUGGAACCAAGUCACUUCUGUCACUGAUCAGAGCACCGCUUAUAACCAAAUAAAAUAAAAAUAAAAAAUUUAAAAUACUUAGCCUAGACCUGACUGCAAUAUCUAACAAAACUUUCCUGGAGGCUUAAGUAUUAAGCGAAGUACAAUACAGAAAGUGACUUCCUUGAAGAGAUCCUUCACAUCCCUUGUAAGUUGGAUUCCUAGGUAUUUUACUCUCUUCGUAGCAAUUGUGAAUGGGAGUUCACUCAUGAUUUGGCUCUCUGUCUGUUAUUGGUGUAUAGGAAUGCUUGUGAUAUUUGCAUAUUGAUUUUGUAUCCUGAGACUUUGCUGAAGUUGCUUAUCAACUUAAGGAGAUUUUGGGCUGAGACGAUGAGGUUUUCUAAAUAUACAACCAUGUCAUCUGCAAAC